AGAAUGUAUACCCACAUCGGCUUGCCCGUAAAGGUUAUGCUCGUUUUGCUGAUGAAAUAGGAGAUGAAUUAUGUGAUGAUGAAGAGAUUAAUCGAGCGAUUAUUUGGAAGAAAGGACGGAUGAAUAAGAAGGGGCAAUUUGAAGGCGAUGAUUUGAAAAUGGCAAUAGAAAAGAUUGAUGAUUAUGUGCAACAAAAA